rnacentral:misc_RNA from 1 species
GUUUAACUUUAUUCAUGAUCAACCGACAUUCAUUACCAAUUCUCGCGUCAAAAAAUGACAAUGCACAAGUGUUUGAAAUACGAUAAGAGGUCGGUCGACGAAACCGAAUCCUCAAAAUUUCACUAAUGAUCCUUCCGCAGGUUCACCUACGGAAA